rnacentral:lncRNA from 1 species
AUUAAAUUAAAAUUUAGAGAAGAAGAAUUAAUGUUAAGAAGACAGAUUAGUGCUUAGUACUGGGCAACUUGUUCUUGUUCCUGUGCACAAUGGUUUGUGCUCUUACUCUUGUUUGAUUAAAAUUAGUAGCCUCUCUUUUCAAGUUAACCACUUGCCAUAACCGUGGCACCGAUUCUAGUCAGUAAGUCAAGAAAGAAUAGUCAAGGUAUAGGCCAAUAGUCUGGGACAUUUCUAACUCUUAUUAAAAGCUAACUAAGCAGAAACAGCUCAAAGCAAAACGUGAACUGAAAGUAAAAAUGCUUGCUUAUGCAUAAGCCAAGAUACAUUCUUCUUAUCUAAUUGUAGCUACAUAAUAUUUUGUUUCUUUGAAUAAUGAUUCCUGUUUUGUAACCACAAAAUACUGUGAGC